rnacentral:rRNA from 1 species
GCGGAGGGAUCAUUACCGAGUGUAAAAACUCCCAAACCAUUGUGAACCUACCACUGUUGCUUCGGCGGCCUCGCCCCGGGCGCGUUCGCGCGGCCCGGACCCAGGCGUCCGCCGGAGGCUCCAAACUCUUGUCUUUUAGUGUAUUUCUGAGUGGCAUAAGCAAAUAAAUCAAAACUUUCAGCAACGGAUCUCUUGGUUCUGGCAUCGAUGAAGAACGCAGCAAAAUGCGAUAAGUAAUGUGAAUUGCAGAAUUCAGUGAAUCAUCGAAUCUUUGAACGCACAUUGCGCCCGCCAGUAUUCUGGCGGGCAUGCCUGUCUGAGCGUCAUUUCAACCCUCAGGACCCGUUCGCGGGACCUGGCGUUGGGGAUCAGCCUGCCCCUGGCGGCGGCUGGCCCUGAAAUCCAGUGGCGGUUCCCUCGCGAACUCCUCCGUGCAGUAAUUAAACCUCUCGCGGCAGGAUAGCGGUUGAACCACGCCGUUAAACCCCCCACUUCUCAAGGUUGACCUCAGAUCAGGUAGGAAUACCCGCUGAACUUAAGCAUUGCCCUAGUAACGGCGAGUGAAGCGGCAACAGCUCAAAUUUGAAAUCUGGCCUCACGGUCCGAAUUGUAAUUUGUAGAGGAUGUUUCUGGCGACGUGUCUUCCGAGUUCCCUGGAACGGGACGCCAUAGAGGGUGAGAGCCCCGUCCGGUCGUACACCUAGCCUCUGUGAAACUCCUUCGACGAGUCGAGUAGUUUGGGAAUGCUGCUCUAAAUGGGAGGUAUACGUCUUCUAAAGCUAAAUACCGGCCAGAGACCGAUAGCGCACAAGUAGAGUGAUCGAAAGAUGAAAAGCACUUUGAAAAGAGGGUUAAAUAGUACGUGAAAUUGCUGAAAGGGAAGCGCUUAUGACCAGACUUGGGCUCGGUGAAUCAUCCGGCGUUCUCGCCGGUGCACUUUGCCGUCCCAGGCCAGCAUCAGUUCGCGCCGGGGGAUAAAGGUUUCGGGAAUGUAGCUCCCUCGGGAGUGUUAUAGCCCGUUGCGUAAUACCCUGGCGUGGACUGAGGUCCGCGCUCUGCAAGGAUGCUGGCGUAAUGGUCAUCAGUGACCCGUCUU